rnacentral:misc_RNA from 1 species
GAAAUAAACCUGAUGGGUUGCUGCUGGUUCUCUAGGGAGCAUGUGCACACCUUGUCAUCUUUAUAUCUCCACCUGUGCACCUUUUGUAGACCUGAAAAGGUCUAUGUUGCUUCAUUUUACCCCAAUUGUAUGUCAAUAGAAUGUUGUGCCUAUAUAAUAUAUACAACUUUCAGCAACGGAUCUCUUGGCUCU